rnacentral:tmRNA from 1 species
GGGGACGACAGGAAUCGACAGGGGCUGACGGACACGGAUUGCGGGCCGAGGCGCCAUCACCCUCGUUAAUCAGGUGGCAAAAGGUAACUGGCGACACUCAACUCGCCCUCGCUGCCUAGGUAGCGACGUUUCAGCCGGCCUCACCCUGACGGGCCGGAUUGAAGCGACGAUUAGUCAGGGCGCUCUGCUCGGGCGCGCCGCAGGCGCGAGCGGCUAAGACUUCUGCUGCUGGCCGGUCGACCUCUCGUCAGUGGAGAGCGACCGGUGAGAUCAACCACUGGCUACGCCCGUAGCAGAUACGUGACGAAGGUUCGCUGGACGGGGAGUUCAAUUCUCCCCCGUCUCCACCA